rfam:Procavia capensis cont1.458406, whole genome shotgun sequence.
GAGCUGCCUAUUUUUCCCAUGUGAGCAGUACAUCAGGCUGGGAAGUUCUGGGGCACAUACUACAGGCAGAACACAGGCAGGAUUUUGGAGGACAGUGUAUGUAGAGAAUUCUAGCCAUCCUCCCCACACACUCAAUAUGUAUCACACUGGAGGACACAGCAGCCAGUGUGCUGUCUGGAAGUCUCCUGGAUGUUGGUUGCCUAGCAACAAAAU